rnacentral:rRNA from 1 species
GAUGAACGCUAGCGGCAGGCCUAAUACAUACAAGUCGAACGGUGUCUUCGGACAUAGUGGCGCACGGGUGCGUAACACGUAUGCAACCUACCUUACAUUGGGGGAUAGCCUUUCGAAAGGGAGAUUAAUACCGCAUAAGACAGUAGCUGGGCAUCCAGCAGCUGUUAAAGAUUUAUCGAUGUAAGCUGGGCAUGCGUCCAAUUAGCUAGUUGGUGAGGUAACGGCUCACCAAGGCAAUGAUUGGUAGGGGAACUGAGAGGUCAAUCCCCCACACUGGCACUGAGAUACGGGCCAGACUCCUACGGGAGGCAGCAGUAGGGAAUAUUGGGCAAUGGACGCAAGUCUGACCCAGCCAUGCCGCGUGCAGGAUGAAGGCGUUAUGCGUUGUAAACUGCUUUUAUACAGGAAGAAACGACUCUUGCGAGAGGCAUUGACGGUACUGUAUGAAUAAGCACCGGCUAACUCCGUGCAGCAGCCGCCGUAACAC